CCUACGGGAGGCAGCAGUGAGGAAUAUUGGUCAAUGGACGAGAGUCUGAACCAGCCAAGUAGCGUGAAGGAUGACGGCCCUAUGGGUUGUAAACUUCUUUUAUAUGGGAAUAAAAUGUUCCACGUGUGGGAUUUUGUAUGUACCAUAUGAAUAAGGAUCGGCUAACUACGUGCCAGCAGCCGCGGUAAUACGGAGGAUCCGAGCGUUAUCCGGAUUUAUUGGGUUUAAAGGGAGCGUAGGUGGAUUGUUAAGUCAGUUGUGAAAGUUUGCGGCUCAACCGUAAAAUUGCAGUUGAAACUGGCAGUCGUGAGUACAGUAGAGGUGGGCGGAAUUCGUGGUGUAGCGGUGAAAUGCUUAGAUAUCACGAAGAACUCCGAUUGCGAAGGCAGCUCACUGGACUGCAACUGACACUGAGGCUCGAAAGUGUGGGUAUCAAACAGGAUUAGAUACCCGAGUAGUC
rnacentral:rRNA from 1 species